AUACGGAGGGUGCAAGCGUUACUCGGAAUCACUGGGCGUAAAGGACGCGUAGGCGGGUUGGUAAGUCAGGUGUGAAAUCCUACAGCUUAACUGUAGAACUGCACUUGAAACUACCAACCUAGAGUAUGGAAGGGGCAGAUGGAAUUAGUGGUGUAGGGGUAAAAUCCGUAGAUAUCACUAGGAAUACCGAAAGCGAAGGCGAUCUGCUGGGACAUUACUGACGCUGAGGCGUGAAAGCGUGGGGAGCAAACAGGAUUAGAAACCCCAGUAGUCC
rnacentral:rRNA from 1 species